rnacentral:rRNA from 1 species
GGAUCCAGACUUUGAUUAUGGCUCAGGAUGAACGCUAGCUACAGGCUUAACACAUGCAAGUCGAGGGGAAACGACAUCGAAAGCUUGCUUUUGAUGGGCGUCGACCGGCGCACGGGUGAGUAACGCGUAUCCAACCUGCCCACCACUUGGGGAUAACCUUGCGAAAGUAAGACUAAUACCCAAUGACGUCUCUAGAAGACAUCUGAAGGAGAUUAAAGAUUUAUCGGUGAUGGAUGGGGAUGCGUCUGAUUAGCUUGUUGGCGGGGUAACGGCCCACCAAGGCGACGAUCAGUAGGGGUUCUGAGAGGAAGGUCCCCCACAUUGGAACUGAGACACGGUCCAAACUCCUACGGGAGGCAGCAGUGAGGAAUAUUGGUCAAUGGGCGAGAGCCUGAACCAGCCAAGUAGCGUGCAGGAUGACGGCCCUAUGGGUUGUAAACUGCUUUUAUAAGGGAAUAAAGUGAGUCUCGUGAGACUUUUUGCAUGUACCUUAUGAAUAAGGACCGGCUAAUUCCGUGCCAGCAGCCGCGGUAAUACGGAAGGUCCGGGCGUUAUCCGGAUUUAUUGGGUUUAAAGGGAGCGUAGGCCGGAGAUUAAGCGUGUUGUGAAAUGUAGAUGCUCAACAUCUGAACUGCAGCGCGAACUGGUUUCCUUGAGUACGCACAAAGUGGGCGGAAUUCGUGGUGUAGCGGUGAAAUGCUUAGAUAUCACGAAGAACUCCGAUUGCGAAGGCAGCUCACUGGAGCGCAACUGACGCUGAAGCUCGAAAGUGCGGGUAUCGAACAGGAUUAGAUACCCUGGUAGUCCGCACGGUAAACGAUGGAUGCCCGCUGUUGGUCUGAAUAGGUCAGCGGCCAAGCGAAAGCAUUAAGCAUCCCACCUGGGGAGUACGCCGGCAACGGUGCAACUCAAAUGAAUUGACGG